rnacentral:rRNA from 1 species
UACGUAGGGGGCUAGCGUUGUCCGGAUUUAUUGGGCGUAAAGAGCGUGUAGGCGGCCAGGUAGGUCUGCUGUGAAAACUCGAGGCUCAACCUCGAGACGUCGGCGGAAACCAUCUGGCUAGAGUCCGGAAGAGGAGAGUGGAAUUCCUGGUGUAGCGGUGAAAUGCGCAGAUAUUAGGAAGAACACCCGUGGCGAAGGCGGCUCUCUGGGACGGUACUGACGCUGAGACGCGAAAGCGUGGGGAGCGAACAGG